AUCUAUAAUGAUAAUGUGGUUCUUAUUGUAGAAUGUAUAGACUGUUAUCUGAGGAGGAGAGGGAGGACUCAUUUUGGGAGACCAUUGAAGACGUGGCCAAUAAACUGUUCCUUAUACCUUGUCUACCUGAAGGACUCCUCUCAUUAGAAGUAACUCUACCUAGUUGUUCAUUACCAACAAUCAUUAUGCCACCCAGAGGAGAUCUUCAUCUUACACACAAAUAUACACAUUGUAGGUAGAGGUAUUCAGAAGAUAUUGAAGGUGUGGCCACAGACCAGUGUCCCGCCCCCUCAGAUUUACUACUUGAUGUUAGCUCCAAUCCCAGUACAGAUUGGACUCAAUAGGUCAAUGGAAAUGAAAGAGAGGGACAGAAUGGGGACAUCAAAUUCAUUCUAUCAAAGGAUGUGGUAUCUUGUGAGGCCAGUCAUUCCCUAGCAGUGUGUGUCUUACUGGGUGUCUGGUCUAUGACUAUUGAGCUAUUGGGACGGGUUUGUCCUGCCGAGUCAGUUGGUAAACUCAAGCACUCAAUAUUCAACCAGUUGCAAGUUGUUUCUUGAAUGGGAGAAGACUCUGUUGUUGCUAUGGCAAGUUCAUUUAGGCUCUGAUGAGGACUUUAUUAAUGAACA